rnacentral:rRNA from 1 species
AUUGAACGCUGGCGGCAGGCUUAACACAUGCAAGUCGAACGAGUGGCGGACGGGUGAGUAAUGCUUGGGAAUCUAGCUUAUGGAGGGGGAUAACUACGGGAAACUGUAGCUAAUACCGCGUACCAUAGGAUGAGCCCAAGUGGGAUUAGGUAGUUGGUGAGGGAAAGGCUCACCAAGCCGACGAUCUCUAGCUGGUCUGAGAGGAUGACCACCAACACUGGGACUGAGACACGGCCCAGACUCCUACGGGAGGCAGCAGUGGGGAAUAUUGCGCAAUGGGGGCAACCUGACGCAGCCAUGCCCCGGGAAUGAAGAAGGCCGUCGGGUGUUAAAGUUCUUUCGGUAGCGAGGCGUUAACUACAGAAGAAGCACCGGCUAACUCCGUGCCAGCAGCCGCGGUAAUUC